UACGUAGGGCGCAAGCGUUGUCCGGAAUUAUUGGGCGUAAAGAGCUCGUAGGCGGCUUGUCACGUCGGAUGUGAAAGCCCGGGGCUUAACUCCGGGUCUGCAUUCGAUACGGGCUAGCUAGAGUGCGGUAGGGGAGAUCGGAAUUCCUGGUGUAGCGGUGAAAUGCGCAGAUAUCAGGAGGAACACCGGUGGCGAAGGCGGAUCUCUGGGCCAUUACUGACGCUGAGGAGCGAAAGCGUGGGGAGCGAACAGG
rnacentral:rRNA from 1 species